rnacentral:piRNA from 1 species
CACCAGAGCUGUUGUGUGCGACAAGA